AGUAAUACUGUUCUUGCAGAGGGGAGGGGUGAUGUUUGUCCUUGUAGUGCUGCAGGUUUUGUUGGUCUUAUCCCUUCACCCGUCAUGCUUUCAGAGCAGCUACUGGUGCCUGUCGACUCAACUGAUUGUUGAAAGGAACAUCACAGAACUCGACCCCUUUUACCGGAGAUUCAACUUCCUCCUUCCGUUGGAAUCGAACUCCAGCCGUGAGCAGAGCUUCGGCUGCAUUACCGCUGCUUACCACUCUGCGCCACGGAGGAUCUACUAGACACUAGACAAGCACAGCUUGCUGGAAGUCCUGACUUCGUCUUCAGCUGCUAGGUAAACCUUCUUAUCUCAGGGGAUUCCUGAUCAAUUCCAGCCACCGACAGCUCAACGAAGUUUUGUGGAUAAUCUCUUCGGUUCACCCUUGCCUUGGCGAACAUUUGGACCAGUCAAAGUUUCCUCUUAUUUUAAAGAUACAAGAAGGAGAUGAGAUAUUGAUAGACAAUGUAAAAAUCCAAAAGGUUUUUCAUCAGUAUUAUUCAACUUUGUAUAAGUGUCAGGAAAUUCCCUCUGAAAAAAUAGAAGAGUAUAUAUCUAAACAGAAUUUGCCUAAAAUUACAGAUUCUCAGAGACAAGCUAUAAAUGGUCCCAUCACGUCAAGAGAGAUAUCUGAAGCUAUAAGCAAAAUUAAAUUAGGAAAGGCGCCAGGACCGGAUGGGUUAUCAGCAGUGUACUACAAAUGUUUGGAGGAGGAACUCUUGUUACCUUUACAGUAUACAAUGAAUUCUAUUUUGCAAGAGGGGAAGAUUCCGGAUAGUUGGAAAAAUGCUAAUAUAACAUUAAUACCUAAAGAGGAGCAGGACCUAACCAAAACAAAAAAUUAUCGGCCGAUAUCUCUAUUGAAUAAUGACUAUAAAAUUUUUACAAUGAUUUUGGCAGAAAGAAUGAAAAUAAUAUUGCAAGAAUUUAUUGAGGAAGAUCAAUCGGGGUUUUUACCUAAAAGACAACUAUGUGAUAAUGUCAGGAAUGUUUUGAAUGUGUUGGAAUAUUUAGAACAAUGAAAUGAUAAACAAGCAGCUUUGAUCUUCUUAGAUGCUGAGAAAGCAUUUGAUAAUUUGAAUUGGAAAUUUAUGUUUAAGGUUCUGGAGCAAAUGGAUUUUGGAGAUAAUUUUAUAAAAUGGAUUAGAUCGAUUUAUACAUCUCAGAAGGCACAGAUAAUUGUCAAUGGGGGCUUAACGGAUUCAUGUGAAAUACAAAAGGGUACAAGACAGGGAUGUCCAUUAUCUCCUCUUUUAUUUAUCUUGGUCUUAGAAGUGCUGCUUAGAGAUAUAAGGUAAGAUAAAAGGAUUUCGGGAUUAAAGAUAAAAAAAGAAGAAUAUAAACUGAGAGCAUUUGCUGAUGAUUUGAUGAUUGUAUUAGAAAACCCUUUGGAAGGAAUUAAUGUAUUGAUGGACAAAUUAAAAGAAUUCGGACCGUUAGCAGGAUUUAAGAUCAACAAUCAAAAAACAAAGAUGUUGGUGAAAAAUUUAUC